UACGGAGGAUGCAAGCGUUAUCCGGAAUGAUUGGCGUAAAGCGUCCGCAGGUGGCUGUGUAAGUCUGCUGUCAAAGAGCAAAGCUCAACUUUGUAAAGGCAGUGGAAACUACACGGCUAGAGUGCGUUCGGGGCAGAGGGAAGUUCCUGGAUGUAGCGGUGAAAUGCGCAGAUAUCGUGGAGGAACACCGGUGGCGAAGGCGGCAUCCUGGACCAAUUCUGAGCACUGAGGAGC
rnacentral:rRNA from 1 species